UACGAAGGGGGCUAGCGUUGUUCGGAAUCACUGGGCGUAAAGGGCGCGUAGGCGGCCGAUCAAGUCGGGGGUGAAGGCCUGUGGCUCAACCACAGAAUUGCCUUCGAUACUGUUUGGCUUGAGACCGGAAGAGGUUAGUGGAACUGCGAGUGUAGAGGUGAAAUUCGUAGAUAUUCGCAAGAACACCAGUGGCGAAGGCGGCUGACUGGUCCGGUUCUGACGCUGAGGCGCGAAAGCGUGGGGAGCAAACAGG
rnacentral:rRNA from 1 species